GUUUAUCUAAUUCAUCCUAAAAUCGAGGGAAAACACGUAUAUUUUCAUCCUUUACUAAAAAGUGGAUAAUUAAUGUAACGCACUAUAUUUUCUUGCGGUGAUACUCUUCCGCCAUUAAUAAAUAUUUUACUCGAUGACAAUGUAGGGGAGGAUUCAAAUUUUUUUUUAGCCUAAGUUAUUUUUAAGGGUAUCGUCGGUAAGCGUUUUGUUUUUGUUUUUACGAAGUAGUAGACAGCAUCAGCAUAUUUUUAAUUAUUAGGUGUAUGCGUGAUAAAAACAGCGCGUAGAUUUUUAACUUUACAUCAAGUUCUGGAAAUCGGAAAUGAGGGGUGGAAAAUCUAGUCUUUUGACAGCAAUACUCAUAUUUACAUGGAUGAAAGCUGUGAUAAAUGCACAAAACAGUGAGAAAGGUUCCAUGACCAGGAUGGAGAAAAGGUUUUUAACCAAUUUUCCAAUAAAGUCAUACUUUCGUCAAAGACGCGAGAGCAUUGCCUUUGAAGAGGAGGACUUUAAUCCCAAUGGUGGCAAGUUUAAAAAUUAGCUAUAUAAAUUCAAAAAUAUUUAAUAUGAUAUAGCAAUGCAGCUGAAUAAUCCACUGUGUUGAAUAAGUGAACACAUUUUCCUUUAGGGUAUGGACCUUGGUCAAGGUGGAGUCCCUGCAGUAGAUUAUGUGGUGCUGGCCAAGCAACACGUACACGAAAAUGUCACGAUGUAAUGAGAUGUCAUGCUGGAAAUGUGGAAUUGAGGCUUUGCUUCCAUAGAAAAUGCAGAUCAAAAAGAACUUCUAUCAAUCUACAUGUAAAAGAAUGAACCACACAAGACAUUGUUCAAACAGGUUUAUUGGUAAUGGUUGAAUGCUGCACAAUAACUUAAUAUUACUCAUAUUCUGCAUAAACCAUGCAAAAGAAAUCUGUUCUAGUCAUUACCAACUUUUAUCUUGCAUUGAUCAAUUUAAUGAUUGCACAAAAGUAUAAAAUUUGUGGAAUGCUUUAAUUUGUUAUGCAUUGUAUAUGAAUAAGAAGAUGUAUAAGUUUUAAAUUCAUUUAAAACAAGAGACCCAUGGGCCAUAAUGCCCACCCGAGUUAACUUCCUUAUAUACAGAGAUAAAGACUCAAAAAUUUGGGAGCACAAAUAGUGUAAAACUUUAACCCCCUGUUUUAACCAUGGGGAUCACACUUUGAACAAAUUUGAAUCUACAUAAUAUGAGGAUGGUUUUAUACUAAUUUAACAAACUGUACUUGUUGUUUUUGGGAGGAAAAUCUUUAAAGAUUUUCUUGAGCAUCUUUUCAUACUGUAGAUGUUCUUAUGCAUGUACAUCCCUAUGCACCAUAAAAAGUUAAUUCCUUAGAGUGAACACACUGGCCCAGGGGAUCUUUAAAUAAAGACCAUUUAAU